UGAGUAACACGUGGGAAACCUGCCCAGAAGCGGGGGAUAACACCUGGAAACAGAUGCUAAUACCGCAUAACAACUUGGACCGCAUGGUCCGAGUUUGAAAGAUGGCUUCGGCUAUCACUUUUGGAUGGUCCCGCGGCGUAUUAGCUAGAUGGUGGGGUAACGGCUCACCAUGGCAAUGAUACGUAGCCGACCUGAGAGGGUAAUCGGCCACAUUGGGACUGAGACACGGCCCAAACUCCUACGGGAGGCAGCAGUAGGGAAUCUUCCACAAUGGACGAAAGUCUGAUGGAGCAACGCCGCGUGAGUGAAGAAGGGUUUCGGCUCGUAAAACUCUGUUGUUAAAGAAGAACAUAUCUGAGAGUAACUGUUCAGGUAUUGACGGUAUUUAACCAGAAAGCCACGGCUAACUACGUGCCAGCAGCCGCGGUAAUACGUAGGUGGCAAGCGUUGUCCGGAUUUAUUGGGCGUAAAGCGAGCGCAGGCGGUUUUUUAAGUCUGAUGUGAAAGCCUUCGGCUCAACCGAAGAAGUGCAUCGGAAACUGGGAAACUUGAGUGCAGAAGAGGACAGUGGAACUCCAUGUGUAGCGGUGAAAUGCGUAGAUAUAUGGAAGAACACCAGUGGCGAAGGCGGCUGUCUGGUCUGUAACUGACGCUGAGGCUCGAAAGUAUGGGUAGCAAACAGGAUUAGAUACCCUGGUAGUCCAUACCGUAAACGAUGAAUGCUAAGUGUUGGAGGGUUUCCGCCCUUCAGUGCUGCAGCUAACGCAUUAAGCAUUCCGCCUGGGGAGUACGGCCGCAAGGCUGAAACUCAAAGGAAUUGACGGGGGCCCGCACAAGCGGUGGAGCAUGUGGUUUAAUUCGAAGCUACGCGAAGAACCUUACCAGGUCUUGACAUACUAUGCAAAUCUAAGAGAUUAGACGUUCCCUUCGGGGACAUGGAUACAGGUGGUGCAUGGUUGUCGUCAGCUCGUGUCGUGAGAUGUUGGGUUAAGUCCCGCAACGAGCGCAACCCUUAUUAUCAGUUGCCAGCAUUAAGUUGGGCACUCUGGUGAGACUGCCGGUGACAAACCGGAGGAAGGUGGGGAUGACGUCAAAUCAUCAUGCCCCUUAUGACCUGGGCUACACACGUGCUACAAUGGAUGGUACAACGAGUUGCGAACUCGCGAGAGUAAGCUAAUCUCUUAAAGCCAUUCUCAGUUCGGAUUGUAGGCUGCAACUCGCCUACAUGAAGUCGGAAUCGCUAGUAAUCGCGGAUCAGCAUGCCG
rnacentral:rRNA from 1 species